UACGUAGGGGGCAAGCGUUGUCCGGAUUUAUUGGGCGUAAAGAGCGUGUAGGCGGUUAGGUAGGUCCGUUGUGAAAACUCGAGGCUCAACCUCGAGACGCCGAUGGAAACCAUCUGACUAGAGUCCGGAAGAGGAGAGUGGAAUUCCUGGUGUAGCGGUGAAAUGCGCAGAUAUCAGGAGGAACACCGAUUGCGAAGGCAGCUCGCUGGGACGUUACUGACGCUGAGACGCGAAAGCGUGGGGAGCGAACAGG
rnacentral:rRNA from 1 species